UACAGAGGGGGCAAGCGUUGUUCGGAAUUACUGGGCGUAAAGGGCGCGUAGGCGGCCUGUUAAGUCGAACGUGAAAUCCCCGGGCUCAACCCGGGAACUGCGUCCGAUACUGGCAGGCUUGAAUCCGGGAGAGGGAUGCGGAAUUCCAGGUGUAGCGGUGAAAUGCGUAGAUAUCUGGAGGAACACCGGUGGCGAAGGCGGCAUCCUGGACCGGC
rnacentral:rRNA from 1 species